AAAAAAUCAUAGAAAAACAUGUAUGAAUCAGUUUUUGGUUGGGGACCUCUAAAAACCAUGCAUAGCCCAUCCCAUUAGUACUUUUUUAUAAUGGAUGAAUAAUUUGUCACCUUUACACUGACAGAGCAAAGGGCAUUACCUUAGGAGAAUUUUAGAAAAAAAUUAUAUUCAAACAUUAAUUGGUUGUGUUAGAAGACAAUAUAUGUGUAUAUG
rnacentral:misc_RNA from 1 species